GUUCCAGAGCAAAGAUGCCUUCAUGCCCUUUGCCCCAGGGCAAGCGGAUGUGCCUGGGUGCAGGCCUGGCGAGAUCCGAGAUCUUCCUCUUCCUCACCACCAUCCUGCAGCGGUUCUGCCUGCUCCCUGCGGGGAGCCCCGGCGGCAUCGACCUCACCCCGCGGUACACUGGCCUGGGCAACAUCCCUCCGGCCUUCCAGCUUCGCCUGGUGGCCCGCUGAGGCCAGGCUCAGCCAGCCUCUGCUCACAGGCCCGCACACCUCCUUUCCUGCAUUGGUCGAUAAAGACCCUGAAUUGCACAUA